rnacentral:lncRNA from 1 species
AGAAGAAGAAUAAUAACAACAAAUAUGUUGCAUCAUUUAAACUUGUGUUAUAUCAUUUAUAAUCUUAUUGUACUAUUUAAAAGAGUAUCCCACUCUUUCUUCAAACAGGACUGUUGUACUCUUAGGAGUACAGAGAUCUCCGUGCUCAUGAGCAGUUUUCAAUGAUAAAAUUUUCGAAUCGACGAUCGGCUCCACUAGAUUUGAUCUAGCAUAUUUGAAGUUUCUUGAAAAUAAUUUUUGUGAUUUUUCGAUAUCAUUUACGUAGCAAUUGAAAGGAUUUAAUAUCAACGACUGAAAAUAAAAAUCUUAUAAAAAGUGUUGAUACAACAUUAAAAUUUUGAUCAGAGAUAUUGCUUUUGUUGUAGAUAGUGUAAAAAAUUUUGUAUCCAAAUUUUAUCUGAUUUGAAUACUUUUACACCGUUAAACUUGGAAACGGUAGACAUCAAUCAUUAAAAAUUAUUGAUUUUGAAUUCUUUCGAUCACUAGGUAAAUGAUAUCGACAAAUCGCAAAAAUUAUUUUUUAGAAACUUCAAGUACACUAGAUAAAGUCUAAUAAAGCCGAUCGUCGAUUCGAAAAUUCUAUCAUCGAAAACGGCUCAGGAGUACGGAGGCCUCCAUGCUCCUAAGAGUACAGCAGUCCUGCUUCGCUUUCUUCUUAUCUUACUAUAUUAUUUUUUUUUUUGUUAUUAUUCUAAAUU